UGUAUUUAAUAAUAAAAAAAAAAAUCCGAACAGCACAGUCGAAACACUUGAAACUCGAUCACUCGGAACAACACUCGGAUAGACACCUAACAUAUUAUUAUAUUGGAACGAGUAAUAGUUUAGAGAAAACAGUACGAACAGUCAAAAAAUUUGUUUACCUAAAUUAUUUUUUUGCGUUUUCUAAAUUUUUGUGGAUAAACUAUCUCUCGAGAAAUAUUUCAAAUGAUAUAAUACGAGUAUAUAUUAUGCGUAUCACCCGACGAAAAAUCAGCAUGUGUUAAGCUU